UNUACGAGCCGAGCUGCCCAGAUGUACC
rnacentral:piRNA from 1 species